rnacentral:rRNA from 1 species
GACGAACGCUGGCGGCGUGCUUAACACAUGCAAGUCGAACGGAAAGGCCCUGCUUUUGUGGGGUGCUCGAGUGGCGAACGGGUGAGUAACACGUGAGUAACCUGCCCUUGACUUUGGGAUAACUUCAGGAAACUGGGGCUAAUACCGGAUAGGAGCUCCUGCUGCAUGGUGGGGGUUGGAAAGUUUCGGCGGUUGGGGAUGGACUCGCGGCUUAUCAGCUUGUUGGUGGGGUAGUGGCUUACCAAGGCUUUGACGGGUAGCCGGCCUGAGAGGGUGACCGGGGACAUUGGGACUGCGGUACGGCCCAGACUCCUACGGGAGGCAGCAGUGGGGAAUAUGGCACAAUGGGCGGAAGCCUGAUGCAGCAACGCCGCGGGCGGGAUGACGGCCUUCGGGUUGUAAACCGCUUUCGCCUGUGACGAAGCGUGAGUGACGGUAAUGGGUAAAGAAGCACCGGCUAACUACGUG